rnacentral:rRNA from 1 species
UAGGGAAUCUUCCACAAUGGACGCAAGUCUGAUGGAGCAACGCCGCGUGAGUGAAGAAGGUUUUCGGAUCGUAAAGCUCUGUUGUUGGUGAAGAAGGAUAGAGGCAGUAACUGGUCUUUAUUUGACGGUAAUCAACCAGAAAGUCACGGCUAACUACGUGCCAGCAGCCGCGGUAAUACGUAGGUGGCAAGCGUUGUCCGGAUUUAUUGGGCGUAAAGCGAGCGCAGGCGGAAUGAUAAGUCUGAUGUGAAAGCCCACGGCUCAACCGUGGAACUGCAUCGGAAACUGUCAUUCUUGAGUGCAGAAGAGGAGAGUGGAAUUCCAUGUGUAGCGGUGGAAUGCGUAGAUAUAUGGAAGAACACCAGUGGCGAAGGCGGAUCUCUGGUCUGCAACUGACGCUGAGGCUCGAAAGCAUGGGUAGCGAACAGG